rnacentral:misc_RNA from 1 species
AAACUUAUGUAUUUCAGUAAUGCAGAUAUGAUUCAAUCUUUAACUAAUGACACUAACUUGUCAAGUUUCUUGGCUGGGGUUUUGGCGUGGAAGGAUCCCCAAGUAUUGGUCCCCGCUCUUCAAAUAGCAGAGAUUCUAAUGGAGAAGCUCCCUGGAGUUUUUGGCAAGAUGUUUGUCCGGGAAGGUGUUGUUCAUGCUGUAGAUGCCUUGAUGUUGUCUGGGUCUCAUGUUUCUGCUCCUCCCCAUCCAACACGUGCUGAGAAAGAGAAACAUAAUAGACGCCGUAGCACUAAUUCCAAUACAGAUGCAAUUUCUGUUGAAGAUCUUACAAGUCCAGUUCCAAGUACUGGAUCUCUGCCAAAUUCAAUGGAAAUUCGGACCGUUAAUUCUAGCCUCCGGAUGUCAGUCAGUACAUGUGCAAAAGCUUUCAAGGAUAAAUACUUCCCAUCAGAUUCUGAGGCUGCUGAAGCUGGUGUCACGGAUGAUCUUAUACGAUUGAAGAAUCUCUGCAUGAAGUUGAAUGCUGGUAUUGAUGAGCAGAUAGCUAAACCUAAAGGAAAAUCCAAAACAUUUGGUCCUCAGCUUGGGGAUAGCUAUGUUGGAAAAGAAGAAAACUUGGCUGAAGUGAUAGCUGCCAUGAUGGGGGAACUCAGCAAAGGGGAUGGUGUUUCAACUUUUGAGUUCAGUGGAAGUGGAGUUGUUGCUUCUUUGCUGAAAUAUUUUACGUUUGCGUACUUUUCUAAGGAAAGAAUCUCUGAUACUAGUAUGUCUAAGCUUCGACAACAAGCAAUCAGAAGAUACAAGUCUUUUAUUGCAGUUGCCCUUCCUGCUGGUGUUGAUGGUGGAAAUAUGGUUCCCAUGACUGUUCUGGUCCAAAAGCUUCAAAAUGCUCUAUGUUCAUUGGAGCGUUUUCCUGUUGUAUUGAGUCAUAGUUCCAGAUCAUCGACAGGAAAUGCACGUCUUUCUUCAGGUUUAAGUGUUUUGUCUCAGCCUUUUAAGCUGCGCCUUUGCAGAGCUCAAGGAGAGAAAACCCUCCGUGACUACUCUUCAAAUGUUUUGCUGAUUGAUCCUUUGGCAAGUUUAGUAGCUAUUGAAGAAUUCCUUUGGGCCCGAGUUGGGAGACCUGAGGCUGAACAGAAGGCAUCUGCUACUGGUGGAAACUCUGGGUCUGGGACUAUACCUGCUGGAGGCAGUGCGUCAUCUCCAUCUAUGUCCACUCCUGCCUCUGCAUCUCGUCGUCAUUCUGCUCGAUCAAGGUCAGCAGUUAAUAUUAAUGAAAGUGAUGGAAGCUCUUCAAAGGGCAAAGGUAAAGCGGUUUUGAAGCCUGCUCAAAAAGAUCGCAGGGGAAUUCGAUCAAGAGAUCCUGUUAAAAUAAGAGCUGCCUUGGAGAAGGCCUUAAGAGAGGAGCCUGUUGAUGGGGAGACUAGUUCAGAGGAUGACGAGCUGCAUCCUUCUCUCAUUGAACUUGAUGAUGCUUUGGUGAUUGAGGAUGAUAUGUUCGAUGAAGAUGAAGAUGACCAUGAUGAUGUGCUGAGGGAUGAUCCUUUUCCUGUCUGCAUGGCAGAUGAAGUGCAUGAUGUUAAAUUGGGAGACUCUUCGGAGGAUAGCCCUUUUGCACAGACACCAACUGGCAGCAAUACAAAUGCUGGUGGUGGUUCUGGGAGCAGAAUUGCUUCUGCUCGGGGAUCUGAUUCCGUUGAGUUCAGAAGUAGGAACUCGUAUGGUUCAAGGGGGGCAAUGUCAUUUGCUGCUGCUGCCAUGGCUGGUCUUUCAUCUGCUAGUGUUAGAGGUGUGAGGGGCGCUAGAGAUCGACAUGGGCAUCCUCUACUCAGCUCUGGUGAUCCACCAAAACUAAUAUUUUCUGUUGGUGGGAAGCCGCUUAAUAGGCAGUUGACUAUCUACCAGGCUAUCCAGCGGCAGCUUGUUCUAGACGAGGAUGAUGAUGAGAGAUAUGGUGGCAAUGAUUUUGUAUCUGGUGACGGCAGUAGGGUUUGGAGUGAUAUUUACACGAUCACAUACCAGAGGGCAGACAACCAAGCUGAGAGGUCAAGUGGGUCUGGGAGUUCAAUUUCCAAGUCUAUGAAAACCAGUUCUUCAACAAGUUCCGGUGCUGAUCCUUCAUUGGUUCAAGCAUCAUUGUUAGAUAGUAU